rnacentral:piRNA from 1 species
UUGAUCCAAGAAUUCCAGUUU